GUUCCAACCAGGAUCGGCCUUUCGACAUGUCUACCCUAGGGAUUUGCAAAAUGAAUUUUUUAACUUGUAACAUUGCUCUCAAAUUCAAGACUUCUGAACAGAAAGCAAGCAACCCAAUUGUAUAUAAUUUUGACUAAUCUGACUAGGAAAAAUCAUCUAUUAUAUAUCUUUCGAGGCUCUUUAGAGAAAUGCUAUUAUUGUAAUAUACAUAUGUGAUAUGUGUUGAACAUGUUUGUUGGGCUACGCAG
rnacentral:misc_RNA from 1 species